rnacentral:rRNA from 1 species
UACGAAGGGGGCUAGCGUUGCUCGGAAUCACUGGGCGUAAAGGGUGCGUAGGCGGGUCUUUAAGUCAGGGGUGAAAUCCUGGAGCUCAACUCCAGAACUGCCUUUGAUACUGAAGAUCUUGAGUUCGGGAGAGGUGAGUGGAACUGCGAGUGUAGAGGUGAAAUUCGUAGAUAUUCGCAAGAACACCAGUGGCGAAGGCGGCUCACUGGCCCGAUACUGACGCUGAGGCGCGAAGGCGUGGGGAGCGAACAGG